AUCACUUCUUGGACUCUUGGCUAUGACCAAAUGUAGUAUCUGUUCUUAUUAGUUUAAAGGCUAAUGAUUAAAAACAAAUAAAAAGCAUCCAACUAUUUUAAUCUUAUAAAAGCUUGGAGCUGGGCGUAGUAGUGUAUGCCUUUAAUCUCAGCACUAAGAAGGCAGAGGUAGGAGGAUUACUGUGAGUUUGAAGCCAGC